rnacentral:rRNA from 1 species
UACGUAGGGUCCGAGCGUUGUCCGGAAUUACUGGGCGUAAAGAGCUCGUAGGUGGUUUGUCGCGUUGUUCGUGAAAACUCACAGCUCAACUGUGGGCGUGCGGGCGAUACGGGCAGACUAGAGUUCGGCAGGGGAGACUGGAAUUCCUGGUGUAGCGGUGAAAUGCGCAGAUAUCAGGAGGAACACCGGUGGCGAAGGCGGGUCUCUGGGCCGAUACUGACGCUGAGGAGCGAAAGCAUGGGUAGCGAACAGG